UUGCCGGUUGAGAGUUUGGUGAUUCCUUCCACGGCGGCAACGGCGGAAAAGGCCCAACAAGAUCCUAUAUAUAUAGCAUGUAUGUAAGUUUGCAAUUAGAUCGAUGCAUGCAUGUAUAGGUAUCCAGCACCAUCUGACUAGGGAAAUUGUUAGACGGAGGUAAGUAAAGGGUAAGUUCAGCAUUCUAGUUUUUGAAAGCAUGUGAUAGUAUAAGGGUUAAAUUUAGCACCAUGUGACAGUCCCAGCAAGAGCGUUGAGACUGACUGGUGGAACGAAGGCCUGUCCGUAAGUGUCAAGUCUAACACCCUAGAUUUUGAAAACGUGUAGUGGUAUAAGGGCUAAGUUUAGUACCAUGUGGCAAUCCGAGCAAGACCAUUGAGACGGAUUUAUGCGGAGGUCGGUAAAGGAUCAAGUCUAGCACCUUAGUUUUUGAAAACUUGUGGUGAUAUAAGGGCCAGGCUAAGUUUAGCACCAUGUAGCAUUGAGACUGGCUGGUGCUGAGAAACUAAGGGAUCCCAGCAAGAGUGUUGAGAUUGGCUGGUGCUGAGAAAUUGAGGGAUCCCAACAAGAGUGUUGAGACUAGCAGGUGCUGAGAGAUUGAGGGAUUGUUGAGCAGAGGGUGGUAAAGGCCAAUUUAGCAUCAUGUGAUUAGCUCCCUUCUUCCUCCAAUCCACCGCAGCCGGUACUACACUCACAUUUUCAUACCUAAACAGCUUAUCGGAAGAAGAAUAUUGGUGAGGCAGCGAUAAUUUGUACCCAUUCCGAGAUGCUCGAAAUUCCUGGUUCGUCAAAUCCGCAAAUUGAUUGAUGCCUAGCUUAUAAGGCUUGUUUCCUGCCUUAUUGAAGGACUCAAUGUACUCAACAUUUCCUUUGAAAAUAUUGUAUCGCUUUGCUUUCUCAACCUCAUCUUUGUAAACACGCCCAUAUUGAGCCAUCCACUGCUCGUGCCUCUCCACCAUCAAUGAAUCGGAUAGUGUUCGAGACGCGGCUAAAUAAGCCGACGUCGCAAACACCAAUGCGAGAGCAACGAGGAGCUUCAAACUGCUAUUGGAAGCCAUAGCUGAACUCAAAUUAAACCUUAGCUUAGCUUAAAAUUAAAGAAUGUUUGUAAUGUAUACAACUUAACUAAAUAUGAUAUGAUCUGAUCUGUGAAUGAAUAAUGCAUUGGAUUGGUUCGUUAUUUA